AAUGUACUCCCUCCGUUCCAUAAUUCUUGUCUCAAAUUUAUCUAAAAAUGAAUGUAUCUAUUCUUAAAAAAUGCCUAGGUACAUGUAAUAUUUCGACAAGAAUUAUGAAACGGAGAAAGUAAUAU
rfam:Brachypodium distachyon strain Bd21 chromosome 2, whole genome shotgun sequence.